rnacentral:lncRNA from 1 species
CGCCUCGCGCCCGGGGCCCCCUCUCCAGCAGGUCGGCGCCCUGCGCCCUGCGCCCGCCCGCCUGGGGACCGCCCGCCCCUCCUCUCCGCGCGGCCGCUCGCUGACUCCCUCGGCAGAGAUUGCUUCUGCCUUCCUGUAAAGUUUUCUCCCGCCCACCUUCUCCGCUGCCAGACCGCCCGAGGUGCCCUCAGUUUCUCCCCAAGUUGGACUCACUUUCGGGAUGUCCCAAAAGCCUGAUUCCAGGGCCUGCUAGCCCGACCCCGGUGACGCCUCCACCCGCGCCUGGCCCCAGCCUUCACCCGCGCUCGCCGCCCUCCGGGACACACCCUCCGCCAGAAAACAGCCGGCGGGCGGCGAGACUUUGGGCAGAGUCCGGGUUCCUCUCCGGCGCCCGGCCCGUCUCCCUAUCUCCUUGGGAGUGCGCACCAGUUUCUCUUUAGAACAAGGACGGGGAGGGAUUUGGGAGGGGGCUGAAACCUUUUGCCAUCAGCGAACAGCCUCAGCCAAAAAUAACCCUGGAAAGGCGAGCUAAGAAUGGUUAUCUCCUGCCAGCGCUGAAAUCGGAGGCUGGGCGCUGCGUGCUGUGUGUGUGUGUGUGUGUGUGUGUGUGUGUGUGUGUGUGUGUGUGUGUGUGUGUACGUACCCUCCCACCCCGACCAUUUGUUGAAGGGAAUCACCACUGUCAGACUUCAAUCCAACAGGACCCACUCAAGCCAUCCACACUUUCCCCAGCCUCCUCCAAAACAGCACACUUUCCGGCUGAAGAAAAGAAGAAUGGUAUUCACGCAGUUCCCAUUUUACAGAUGAAAACAAGAGGACUUUUUCUGUGAAGUCAAGAAAGUGGUUACAAUGGUACUUUCAGCCUGUCCGAAUUAUGUAUUGCCCCUCCCCUUUUUAUUAAUAACAUUGAAGUGUGAUGGGAAAACCACUGAAGCCGUCAGUUGAAACCUGCUGGGACUUUUUAGCCAUUCUCUUCAACAUAAAGAAUGGGUGUUUUUGGAGGGGGUGAGAGGAAUGGGGAAAUGUUGUCAAAGAGUACAGUGUUUUAGUUGAGACAGGAAGAAUAUAUUUUGUUGAGAUCUACAGCACAGCAUGGUGACUGUAGUUAACAAUGAAGUAUUGUGUAUUUCAAAAUUGCUAAGACAAUAAAUUUCAAAUGUUCUCACCACAAAAAAGAUAGGUUUUGAGGUGAUGAAUCUAUUAA